rnacentral:rRNA from 1 species
UACGAGGGGGGCGAGCGUUGUUCGGAAUUAUUGGGCGUAAAGGGCGCGUAGGCGGUGUGGCAAGUCAGGUGUGAAACCUCCAGGCUCAACUUGGAGCUUGCAUCUGAAACUGCCGUGCUAGAGUGUGGGAGAGGAGAGUGGAAUUCCUGGUGUAGCGGUGAAAUGCGUAGAUAUCAGGAGGAACACCGGUGGCGAAGGCGGCUCUCUGGACCACAACUGACGCUGAGGCGCGAAAGCUAGGGGAGCAAACAGGAUUAGAUACCCUGGUAGUCCUAGCUGUAAACUAUGAACACUUGGUAUAGCCGGUAUCGAAUCCGGCCGUGCCGGAGCUAACGCAUUAAGUGUUCCGCCUGGGGAGUACGGUCGCAAGGCUGAA